rnacentral:rRNA from 1 species
UACGUAGGGGGCUAGCGUUGUCCGGAAUCAUUGGGCGUAAAGCGCGUGUAGGCGGUUCGGUAGGUCCGCUGUGAAAGUCGGGGGCUCAACCCUCGGAUGCCGGUGGAUACUGUCGAGCUUGAGUACGGAAGAGGCGAGUGGAAUUCCUGGUGUAGCGGUGAAAUGCGCAGAUAUCAGGAGGAACACCAAUUGCGAAGGCAGCUCGCUGGGACGUUACUGACGCUGAGACGCGAAAGCGUGGGGAGCAAACAGG